UGAAAUAUCAUCCACAGGUACACGUGAAAUAUCAUCUACAGGAACACGUCAAACAUACGUCAAAUAUUAAAGGGAGAAUAUAAAUAAUAAAUAAAUCUAGCAUUCAUUUGCUUUGAUCCUUAUUAACACCUAGUUUCCAGAGUCGUUUUUACACAUAAACUCGGUGUUGGGAAUAAAAUUCCUCAUGAAAUCUUUUCCUUUAGGAAACGUGUCACUGGUGAAUGUUCCAGGACAAACACAGAAUGUUUACUCAUCUUUAAAUGAACACACAUACAGUCACACACACUGCCAGUCAUUUCUGACCUCAUAUAAUCGGACUGCACGUGUUAAAAUUUGAGGGAAAAACUCCAAUCCGGAAGUUUGAAAUGUAGCGGCGCGCUUGAACGCUGCACGCUUCCUCGGUAUUCCAGCAGUUCCCUUAGAGCUAUUUUUCCUGUGACGUCACCAAACACGACGGCAACGUUCCUUUACCCAUGAGCCUCUGUUUAAGGCAGAAAUGAAGCCCCAGUGUUUAGUUUGUGUUUUCAACAGAGCUGAUGAGGUUAAAAAGACCAGGGAAAGAUGUUUAGGUAUAAACCGGAACAUGAGAAACUUCUGAACCAUCAAGAUGUGAGUCAGUGGGCGAUGAGUCAAGGCAAAAUCAGAGGAGGCAUCAGAAGCAUUUUACUGGAAGACGUUAGACGUGAACAUGCCAGACGCUCCGUGUGAUCCCACCUCCGUCACCCACGUUCUCCUUCUAUCUGAAAGCUGCUGAUAAGAAACUCCCACACACUCGACAGCAUUCGGAGGAACAAAAUAAAAAACAAGGUUUAACCUGUUAACAGUGACGGUGAGAAAGCAGGUGGAAAAGUCAAACAAUACAAAAUUAAAAUCCCUGUUUUUUCA